AUCCAUCUGACAAGUCCCAAAUAGGACGAAACGCGCGUCCUGGAU
rfam:Schistosoma mansoni, Puerto Rico, WGS project CABG01000000 data, contig: 0032